rnacentral:lncRNA from 1 species
GUCUAAUUUGGCACCCCCACCUUUCUUCUGCAGCUUUUCUGUCUACUUAGCUAACCAGCAGCAAGCUUAUCCUCGCAAGGCGUUUGGGGUCAAGAACAACUUUCACCAGCAAAAAGUGCAAGACGAGUGAGUGAAGACAAUAAAGUUCCUUCUGUGAUCUAAAA